rnacentral:lncRNA from 1 species
AUUAGUUGUAAUUUUCUAAGCAGUGAAGGAGGACGCGCUCUCGGUGUUGUUGUUUUUGUUUUAUUAUUUAUUGUUACUUAUAAAAAUAAUCUCUGCUCCAGGAGUGAUGUUGUGUUUGUUCUUAUGAAGUGCUCAUUGUGAAAAUUAUGCAGGUAGUAGGGAAUUGCAUUACGAAUCACACAGGAGAAUUGAUGCUUGAAUGGGGAGAAAAUAAUAAUCAUGAACACAUUGGAAAUGAAGAAAAAGGACGGUGUCAAACUCUUUGCAGGAACAGGAGUCGCUACUCUGAGAGUACACGGAGCUGAGACGGUUCUUUCGGCGCUAAUACAAAACUCCUACAUGAAUCACUGAGCCCAUUCACCCCGUUAUUUUUAUUUAUUUUCUUCUUUUUUUUUCUAAAUUUUA